rnacentral:lncRNA from 1 species
AGCCAAUCUGCAUAAUCAUGGUCUGAAACAAUGGUAUUUUUUCUGCUUUUCCUGCUGAAUGUCUGCCUAAAGUGAUUCUAGUCCUAUCAUAAACUGCUUGCAGGAAUAUAGAGCAGAAUGCACAACAGAGAGGUUUCACAUGAAACAUAACAUAGUGAAUGAUUUAAUAAUGCUGCAAACUGAUUGUAUGCAUAAACAUGUGUACUACUAUUACCGUGGAUGAGUCGUGCCUCGUAUUCGUGUUUCCCAGCACAUUGUUUUACAUGUAGACUCCUCUUCUUGAAAUCUCAUGCACACUGCAUUUCCUACAGACAGCCCAAGGAAGACUCCUGCUUUCCCAGAGGCCGUACUACAGGGUUUGGCAUCUCCUGGAAGGCCGGGAAACCUUUUGGAGGCUUUACUUUUGAUGGAGCAUUGGAAUACAAUGCUUGGAAAAGAAAGCAAACCAUCUUCUGUCAUGAGAUCAAGGAGGGGACUGCUGGUCACCAUCUUUUGCCCCUACCGACAAUGCAUUAUGCUCAGCUCCUCCGUUUUCCGUUGCUGCUAUAGGACUGGCUGGAGCAGUUGACAGAUGUUUAGAGGAUUUCUUGUCUCUGGACCAGCGCUUCAUCUGUUCCAAGUUAUUCAAAACACAAACGGGGUUGGCAGGAGUGAAACCUGCUCAGAACUGCGACGUCAAAACAGAAAUAUAUUUUUAAAAAGACAAGUGUCAAAAAAACAAGUGUUUGUGCGGUUUAUAGCAAGAUGUAUUUAAAUGGUUGAGAUUUUCUUCUUUUAACCCCUUGUACUCCCACCUGAAAUGACAUUCUUCAAUACCUACAGCAGUUUUCCUGCUUAAAUGUACUAGCUAAUAACAUAAUUUGGGACUAUCUUGUCAAGUGUACUGUUGUAAAGCUGUAGUGUGAUCCUGCAAAUGCCAUGAGCAAUACUGUUGAACAGAGUGGUGGAGGGGGCAUUUAGUGAGAAAUAAAAAAACAGAGAGGGGUGAGGGAGAGAUAGGG